rnacentral:rRNA from 1 species
CAGUAGCCGCGGUAAUGCGUAGGGUGCGAGCGUUAAUCGGAAUUACUGGGCGUAAAGCGUGCGCAGGCGGUUGUGUAAGACAGGUGUGAAAUCCCCGGGCUUAACCUGGGAACUGCGCUUGUGACUGCACAGCUAGAGUAUGGCAGAGGGGGGUGGAAUUCCACGUGUAGCAGUGAAAUGCGUAGAGAUGUGGAGGAACACCGAUGGCGAAAGCAGCCCCCUGGGCCAAUACUGACGCUCAUGCACGAAAGCGUGGGGAGCAAACAGGAUUAGAUACCCGUGUAGUCCCUGUCUCUUAUAC